CACGUCCCAUGAAGCCCUGCAGUGUAAGCUUGAAGUGUCAUCAUUGAGACCGAUAAAGCCGUCUCGGGGCCAGUGGCGCAAUGGAUAACGCGUCUGACUACGGAUCAGAAGAUUCCAGGUUCGACUCCUGGCUGGCUCGGUAGGACGGAUGGCCUCUACCGUGUGGCAAGCAUGAUGCUGAACGGUUCCAGAGUACAUCAUGAGAAAAGCUGGGCUGGAAGAAGCACAGCUGGAGUCAAGAUUGCCGGGAGAAAUAUCAAUAACCUCAGAUAUGCAGAUGACACCACCCUUACGGCAGAAAGUGAAGAACUAAAGAGCUUCUUGAUGAAAGUGAAAGAGGAGAAUGAGAAAGUUGGCUUAAAGCUCAACAUUCAGAAAACUAAGAUCAUGGCAUCUGGUCCCAUCACUUUAUGGCAAAUAGAUUGGGAAACAGUGGAAACAGUGGCUGACUUUAUCUUUUGAGGCUCCAAAAUCACUGCAGAUGGUGACUGCAGCCAUGAAAUUAAAAGAUGCUUAAUCCUUGGAAGGAAAGUUGUGGCCAACCUAGACAGCAUAUUAAAAAGGAGAGACAUUACUUUGCCAACAAAGGUCCAUCUAGUCAAGGCUAUGGUUUUUCCAGUAGUCAUGUAUGGAUGUGAGAGUUGGACUAUAAAGCUGAGUGCUGAAGAAUUGGUGCUUUCGAACUGUGGUAUUGGAGAAGACUCUUCAGAGUCCCUUGGACUGCAAGGAGAACCAACCAGUCCAUCCUAAAGGAGAUCAGGCCUGGGUGUUCAUUGGAAGGACUGAUGCUGAAGCUGAAACUCCAAUACUUUGGCCACCAGAUGUGAAGAGCUGACUCAUUUGAAAAGUCAGUCAUUUUGAAAAAAACCCUGAUGCUGGGAAAGAUUGAGGGCAGGAGGAGAAGGGGAUGACAGAGGAUGAGAUGGUUGGAUGGCAUCACUGAUGCAACGGACAUGAGUUUGGGUAGGCUCCGGAGUUGGUGAUGGACAGGGUGGCCUGGCAUGCUGCAGUUCAUGGGGUUGCAAAGAGCUGGACACAACCGAGCAACUGAACUGAACUGAAUAAUCAAAUGUUAUGUAUGAAUCUUUCUUAGAACCUAGACCAAGAAAAAAACUAGAGAAAUCUGAAUAUGACCUGAAUAAUAACUAUUAUGAUAUUAUUGAUUUUUCCCUAGUUUUUGGCUGCAGUGCUCAAGAUCUUAAUUCCUAAACUAGGGAUGGAACCCAAGCCCCCUAUAAUGGAAGUGCAGCAUCUUAACCACUGGACCACUAUUUUAUUAGUUAUACAGGGAGUGCCCUUAUGUUUAGGAGUUGCUUGCUUAAGUGUUUACAGAAUGAAAUGUCAGAAUGUCUGCAACUAUUGUAAAAUGACUCAGGAAAAACAAAAGUCUACAUAACUCUAUCUAUAAAGAGAGAGUGGGCUUCCCUGGUAGCUCAGUUGAUAAAGAAUCCUGCGUGAAAUGCAGGUGACCCCGGUUCAAUCCCUGGGUGGGGAAGAUCCCCUGGAGAAGGAACCACAACCUACUCCAGCACUCUUGCCUGGAGAAUCCCAUGGACAGAGGAGCCUGGUGGGCUACAGUCCAUGGGGUUGCAAAAAGUUGGACACAACUUAGCAACUAAACCGCUGUAAAAAGAGAGGAGGGAGGAGACGAAAGAGAGAGAGAAAGAAAAGCAAAAUGUUAGUCAUUGUUGAAUAUAGGUUAAGAGUAUCCUGGUACCAUGAAAAGAUGCUCAAAAUGGCUAAUUAUUAGUGAAAUACAAAUCAAAACUACAAUGAGGUGUAAUCUCACAUGGUCAGAAUGGCCAUCAUCAAAAAAUCUACAAACAAUAAAUGGUGGAGAGGAUGUGGAGAAAAGGGAACCUUCUUGUGCUAUUGGUAGGAAUGUAGAUUGAUACCAGCCACUGUGGAGAAGAGUAUGGAAAUUCCUUUAAAAACUAAGAAUAGAGUUACCAUAUGAUCCAUCAAUCCCAUUCCUGUGCAUAUAUCUGGAAAAGAUGAAAACUCUAAUUAAAAAAGAUACACGUGGGACUUCCCUGGUGGUCCAGUGGCUAAGACUCCACAGUCCCAAUGCAGGGGGCCUGGGUUCGAUCCCUGGUGAGGGAAUUAGAUCCCAUGUGCCACAACUAAGAAUUCGAGGGCCGCAACUAAGAUUCAGUGCAGUCAAAUAAAUUUUAAAAAAAAGAAAAGAUACAUGUACCCCAGUGUUCAUAGGAGCUCUAUUUACAAUAGCCAACAUGUAGAAGCAAUGUAAAUGUCUAUCAACAGAUGAAUGAAUAAAGAUGUGACACAUAUAUAUAUACAUAUAAAUAUUACUCAGCCAUAAAAAAAUGAACGAAAAAUGACAUUUGUAGCAACAUGGAUGGACCUAGAGAUUAUUAUGCUAAGUGAAGUAAGUUGGAAAGAGAAAGACAAAUAUGAUAUCACUUAUUUGUGAAAUCUAAAACAGUGAUCCAAAUGAAUUUAUUUACAAAACAGAGACAGACUCAAAGAUGUAGAAAACAGUCAUAUGGUUAUCAAAGGGAAAGCGGGGGGAGAUAAAUUAGGAGUUUGGGAUUAACAGAUACACACUACUAUAUGUGUAAAAUAGAUAAAAAAACAAGGACCAACUGUAUAGAACAGGAAGGCUGAAUCACUUUUUGCUACACACUUGAAACUAACACAACAUUGUAAAUCAACUAUAACUUAAAAAUUGAGGAAAGAAACUUCCUUGGUGGUCCAGGUAAGACCCUGCAUUUCCAAUGGAGGGGGCACAGGUUCAAACUAAGAUCCCACAUGCCACGUGGAGCAACCA